rnacentral:rRNA from 1 species
AUUGAACGCUGGCGGCAGGCUUAACACAUGCAAGUCGAGCGGGGUGAUGGUGCUUGCACUAUCACUUAGCGGCGGACGGGUGAGUAAUGCUUAGGAAUCUGCCUAUUAGUGGGGGACAACAUCUCGAAAGGGAUUCUAAUACCGCAUACGUCCUACGGGAGAAAGCAGGGGAUCACUUGUGACCUUGCGCUAAUAGAUGAGCCUAAGUCGGAUUAGCUAGUUGGUGGGGUAAAGGCCUACCAAGGCUACGAUCGGUAGCGGGUCUGAGAGGAUGAUCCGCCCCACUGGGACUGAGACACGGCCCAGACUCCUACGGGAGGCAGCAGUGGGGAAUAUUGGACAAUGGGGGGAACCCUGAUCCAGCCAUGCCGCGUGUGUGAAGAAGGCCUUAUGGUUGUAAAGCACUUUAAGCGAGGAGGAGGCUCUUUUGGUUAAUACCCAAGAUGAGUGGACGUUACUCGCAGAAUAAGCACCGGCUAACUCUGUGCCAGCAGCCGCCGUAA